CGAAUGGGGUGAUUCAUCGUCGACGACGCUGGCUCCCGUUGGUGCGCGAUGCUCCGGAUGGAUCCUCGUGGUCCAUUAGCGAGGGCACGCCAUCUUCGGCUUGAAUGUUCCGGCAACGUAGUCGUGCACUUCUCCCCUAGUAGGACGUCGCGACCCGUUGUGUGUCGGUCUACGGCCCGAGUGGGCGCCUGUCGCGUCGCUUCUUGCGCACGUGGCAGACCCUCGGUCGCCUGGCCGGCUGCACGACGGUACUCGCACGGUAUCGGGCCGCAACCAAUCCAUUCUCGAAUGUGUGUGCGUCGGGCCCGCCGCAAGCUCGGUCAGUAUACCCGGAGGUGCGGACCUGGCGCCGUCCCCGGGCCUGACCAGCUGUUAGCAGGCGGUGUCCUCGGACUGGCCAAGCUUCGAAUUACCGGUCGGCGACGCUAUUGCUUUGGGUACUCUCAGGACCCGUCUUGAAACACGGACCAAGGAGUCUAACAUGUGCGCGAGUCAUUGGGAUGCAUAAACCUAAAGGCGAAAUGAAAGUGAAGGUCGACCUUUGCGUCGACCUAGGGAGGAUGGGCCGCGUUACGAUGCGGCCUCGCACUCACGGGGCGUUUCGUUCUCAUUGCGAGAAGAGGCGCACCUAGAGCGUACACGUUGGGACCCGAAAGAUGGUGAACUAUGCCUGGUCAGGACGAAGUCAGGGGAAACCCUGAUGGAGGUCCGUAGCGAUUCUGACGUGCAAAUCGAUCGUCGGAACUGGGUAUAGGGGCGAAAGACUAAUCGAACCAUCUAGUAGCUGGUUCCCUCCGAAGUUUCCCUCAGGAUAGCUGGCACUCGCUCGUUCCUAUUGAACGCGUGCGAGUCUCAUCUGGUAAAGCGAAUGAUUAGAGGCCUUGGGGCCGAAACGACCUCAACCUAUUCUCAAACUUUAAAUGGGUGAGAUCUCUGGCUUGCUUGAAUCUAUGAAGCCACGAGAUUUUGGAUCAGAGUGCCAAGUGGGCCAAUUUUGGUAAGCAGAACUGGCGCUGUGGGAUGAACCAAACGCAGAGUUAAGGCGCCUAAGUCGACGCUUAUGGGAUACCAUGAAAGGCG
rnacentral:rRNA from 1 species